UACGAAGGGGGCUAGCGUUGUUCGGAAUUACUGGGCGUAAAGCGCACGUAGGCGGACUAUUAAGUCAGGGGUGAAAUCCCGGGGCUCAACCCCGGAACUGCGUUUGAUACUGGUAGUCUCGAGUCCGGAAGAGGUGAGUGGAAUUCCGAGUGUAGAGGUGAAAUUCGUAGAUAUUCGGAGGAACACCAGUGGCGAAGGCGGCUCACUGGUCCGGUACUGACGCUGAGGUGCGAAAGCGUGGGGAGCAAACAGG
rnacentral:rRNA from 1 species